GGGGGUUAGAGGGAAUUAAGUUGGAGGUGGGAUGGUAUUGUGUCCAUUCAUCAAGUCUCCUUCUGAAAUUCUUGCUAAUACUGGAUAAUGUUCAGGAAUUUUAGAAAGGCCCAUUUGGACUAUGAAUAUGCUAGACACUCAUACAUUUCCCUGUCAUGUGUGCAUUGUCUAUAUUACCCUUUUUUUUUUAAUCCUCAUGUGAGGAUUU